GCAGUCGUGGCUUAGUGGUAAAGCGCCUGUCUAGUAAACAAGAGAUCAGUGGUUCGAUCCCGCCAGGUGCC
rnacentral:tRNA from 1 species